UACAGAGGUCUCGAGCGUUGUUCGGAUUCAUUGGGCGUAAAGGGUGCGUAGGUGGCGCUGUAAGUCGGGUGUGAAAUCCUGAGGCUUAACCUCGGAACUGCAUUCGAUACUGCGGCGCUUGAGGACUGGAGAGGAGACUGGAAUUCCUGGUGUAGCGGUGAAAUGCGCAGAUAUCAGGAAGAACACCCGUGGCGAAAGCGGCUCUCUGGAACGGUACUGACACUGAGACACGAAAGCGUGGGGAGCGAACAGG
rnacentral:rRNA from 1 species